rnacentral:lncRNA from 1 species
AACACACUAAAGAGUCCUUCAACUACAUCAGCAGAUAAAACAGGCAAAAUCUUCCCACGAUGUUGCUUGAAGUCCAAGGGAUCUAAUACAAAAGAUGAUAGCUUCCUUAGCUCUUUCAAAUUCGGACAUUUGAAACUGUACUUCAUAGUGUUCCUUCGUCCAUAAUCCAUGGUCUGAAAAUAUUUGCAAAUAAAACCUCAGUUCCUUGAAGCUAUUUUUCGUGUG